rnacentral:misc_RNA from 1 species
GUGCACUUUAUUGUGGCUCAACCCUUUUUUUAAACCCCAAGCCUUUGUUUGUGUUGACAAAUUUUUUGUCAAUUGCACUCAAGGUGGACGUAACAUUUUUUUGUUACAUUUUAAACACAAGUUGAAUUUAAGAAUGUAAAAACCUUUAUUAUUUUGAAAU